GGAAGGUGGUGAUUGACUCCGCUGUCCUGGCGUCGUGAGGGAGCUUGUUCCACCAUUGGGGUGCCAGAGCAGCGAACAGUUUUGACUGGGCUGAGCGGGAACUGUGCUUCCUCAGAGGUAGGGAGGCGAGCAGGCCAGAGGUGGAUGAACGCAGUGCCCUUGUUUGAGUGUAGGGCCUGAUCAGAGCCUGAAGGUAUGGAGGUGCCGUUCCCCUCACAGCUCCGUAGGCAAGCACCAUGGUCUUGUAGCGGAUGCGAGCUUCGACUGGAAGCCAGUGGAGAGAGCGGAGGAGCGGGGUGACGUGAGAGAACUUGGGAAGGUUGAACACCAGACGGGCUGCGGCGUUCUGGAUGAGUUGUAGGGGUUUAAUGGCACAGGCAGGGAGCCCAGCCAACAGCGAGUUGCAAUAAU
rnacentral:lncRNA from 1 species